UCGAGUGACGUAGGCCGUAAAGUCCCGCCCCGGGCGAAGUGGCGUCGAUUGACAGUCCCAGAGCACACCAUACCGUGCCUUCCUGGAUUCUCCGACCAAUGAGAAAGCGAUUAGAAAGUCGAGCAUCAUGAAUAUUAGUUUCCUGUAUUGUUGCACUUGAAGGCGGAAGAGUGUGGUUCGACGGAUAGGCUACUUGAAAUGUUUCGACGGUCUCAAUUAAAGUAAGGCGCGUCGCUAGAAACAGAGUGUGACCAAAGCCAUAAGGACGUGGUUAAAGACGGUCAAAUAUAUUUCAGAACUUCAAGAAAAGUCUGUGACAGAAGUUUGAUGAUUGAAGCCCAAACACACCUGACAACCAUGUUUCUACCAUUCAUAUUAAUAAGUUGUUGCUUUGGCGUUGCUUCACCUUUAUCUUGUCCCCCGAAUGAAUACAAAGCAGGAAUGGAGUGUUGCCCAUCAUGUCCGCCUGGAAUGCAUGUUGUAAAGGACUGCGAAGAGAGAAGCAUGACACAGUGCUUAAGGUGCCCCGGUGGUACUUUCCAAGCCGGCUAUAAUGAGCAGAAGCAAUGCUCUGCCUGUACAAAGUGUGACGCAGGUCUCGGUCUGAAGGUGAAGAAGUCGUGUUCAUCAACAUCAGAUGUUCUGUGUAAGCCCCUGGAUGGAUUCUUCUGUAGUGACUCUAACAGAGGUGGAUGUAGGGCCGCUCAGAGACACCGUCUGAGCUGCAGUCCUGGUCAAUACAUCGGUCAAAGAGGAACAGCAGAUAAAGACAUGGAGUGCCUUCACUGUACUGAUGGAACAUUCUCAGAUGGCACACGGUCGUCUUGCAAGAACCACACAAAAUGUGAUUCUGUGGGAGGGGUGCUGCAGAUACAACCAGGAACUGAUUCAACUGAUUCUACAUGUAUUGAUUACGUUGUGAUUGGGGUCAUAAUAAUAGGAUGCAUAUCAAUCAUCGCCCUUGGAGCAUUGGUUUAUAGAAGACGUAAGAAGGUAAGUGUUAUUCCUUACAUAACACAAUAAUAUGUGUGACCCUAGCUGGCAGUGGUGGAGUUAUUAGAUGAUGACCUUGUAAUGAACCCAAUGUUGAUAUUUUAUUCACUUUUUCAUUUAUAGGGAAAGAAAAAGCAGGGGUGGCGGUUACAUGGUGGAGCUGCUGGAGAAAGGACAUCUGAUCCCUCAUCCACAUCUCUCCUCUCUAUGAAGCUUCCUGCAGGUCUAGAGACACCCAUCCCUCCAAUGAAACACAGCCUGCUGAAGAAACUGGGUUGCCCGACCUGGUGACCGUCCUGCACCAACCAGGGACCAACAAGAACCUGCCAUAACUGUCCCUGAUACACCUAUGGAAGAUCUUGAUGAUGAUUAGAGUCUGGGUCCAGCCCGACCCUCAAGCCCCAAACAUAAUAGAUCCCCGAACAGGCUAGCUACAACACCGUGGAGUUGUGAGUCUAAUGCCGCUUUUCCACUGCAUGGCCCCCUCCAUUUAUGCCUUUAAAUCAAGGCUCAAAACCCAUCUGUACAACCUUGUCUUCCCUCCCCAUUACCUAUCUGACCUCUGCACUAUUGCCUUUGUUGUGUGUGGAUGUCCGGUUUCAUGUAUUUUAGUUGUAUUUUAUUCUAUUGUUAUUUUGCCAUCAUCUUUGCCUGCUGAAUGCACUAUGUACAGAACUUUGGUCAGUGCAAACUGUUUUAAAUGUGCUUUUAUGAAUAAAUUGUACUUACUUUCUUACUCACAUUGCACUUAAUCUACAUUGCACUUAUUCAUAGUAGCAUCUGCAGUAGCUGCAAUCAUUGCUGUACACGGGGAAUGGGUUAGCCUAGCGAUUGUUAGUACUUGCACUUGGUUCUAUGAACAUCUUUACUGUAGGCCUACUGACAGCAGAGCAUGUGAGCGGAGCGGAGCGGAAGAAAUAGGUUGGAGCGGGUUGGAGCGCAGAGCGGUUUUAAAUUCAAAGGCCGGAGCGGGGAUUUCACUCCGCUCCAGUCCGCUCCGAUUUUAACUGCUUCUAGCGGCUUACAUGUAGGUGGUUCACGUAGAAUAGAAUGGGUUUCAACGGGAGCAUCCAAGCAACCUGAUUGGAUAAAACGCGUCACGUGAGACCCUUCCACCCCCCCUCCGCAACACUGGCUCGUGUGCCCGCGAGAGUAGCAAGAUGGAGUUUGGGAAGUACUUCGAAAAGCAAGGUGAUAGGUCAUAUAAAUGCAAAAUUCAGGUCAAAAAGCGAGAGGAAGAUGUAGAGCAUGAGGAAGAAUGUGGCGACAUCAUCGCUGUGGGCAAAGAUUCGUAUUUUAACCUUCGAAGGCAUAUCAUGAGAAAACACGAGGAGGUAACUGAAUGAGACUUGACACAUGUAUCGUGACAUCAAUAAAUCAAACGCCAUAUGUCCCAGGGCCCUGGCAUAAUUACAUGAAGGGAAAAUGUCAGAAAAUGAUUUCUCCUAAAAAUUUGAGCGGAGCGUGGAGCGAUUUCGCCGGAGCGGCAGGAAAUUUAAGAUGAGCGCGGAGCGGUUUUGAGCGGAGCGCCCUGGCACAACGUUGAGCGGCAGAGCGAAUGAGCGGACAUCCUCCUGAGCGGGGAGCGGGAAUUGCGCGGCGCUCCGCUCCGCUCACAUGCUCUGACUGACAGCGAUAUAUUGUUUCACUUCUCAUGACAAAUGUACUUAUUGUAAGUCGUUUUGGAUAAAAGCGUCUGCUAAAUGCCCUAAAUAUAAAUGUUGGAAGCUUGGGUUUGUCUUUAAUGUUAUGUCUUCGA